rnacentral:lncRNA from 1 species
AUUAACUGAUCUCUAGAGUAGUAACUCCAUAUAGCAUUCCCGUUCAAAUAAUUGUUUGCUAACUCUUAUAUAAUAGUUGAUAUAUCAAUUAUUCUUUUAUUGGCAUAAAAACUUGGUAUCUCUAUUUUUUGUAUUUCUUCCUGUUGUCCAAUAUCUUCAGGUAUAAUCAUAUCUUUGGUUAGUCCUAUUUUAAUAACUUGAAUUGGGGGUUUUAUCUCUCCGUAUAAUAUCUCCGCUGGUGCUGUAUAAAACCUUUACAUAGAAUAAAUUU